CCUACGGGCGGCUGCAGUGGGGAAUAUUGGACAAUGGGGGCAACCCUGAUCCAGCCAUGCCGCGUGUGUGAAGAAGGCCCUCGGGUUGUAAAGCACUUUCAGUGAGGAAGAACGCCUGGUGGUUAAUACCCAUCAGGAAAGACAUCACUCACAGAAGAAGCACCGGCUAACUCCGUGCCAGCAGCCGCGGUAAUACGGAGGGUGCGAGCGUUAAUCGGAAUUACUGGGCGUAAAGCGCGCGUAGGUGGCUUGAUAAGCCGGUUGUGAAAGCCCCGGGCUCAACCUGGGAACGGCAUCCGGAACUGUCAAGCUAGAGGGCAGGAGAGGAAGGUAGAAUUCCCGGUGUAGCGGUGAAAUGCGUAGAGAUCGGGAGGAAUACCAGUGGCGAAGGCGGCCUUCUGGACUGAAACUGACACUGAGGUGCGAAAGCGUGGGUAGCAAACAGGAUUAGCUACCCGAGUAGUC
rnacentral:rRNA from 1 species